rnacentral:lncRNA from 10 species
GAUAAGUGCAGGUGGUAAGUUGUUAAUACCAAAGGCAACCAUAUUCUUUGGACCUAACGUUUUCUUGUAGGAAUAAUUUGAUUCAUUUUACCGCCAAGGAGCAAGUGUUCAAGAACCUCCUCCCUAUAAGGGCAGAAAAUUUAGAUGUCAGUCUUGCUGAAAUGCCCCAGUGCCCUCCUUCUCACGCAUCCAAGAGUUUCCUCAUAGCUUGGUUGGGUCCAGAUGGGCUUGGUCCCAUGUCUACAUAUAAUUAGGGUGGAGAGGAGUUGAGGCAUACAGCCUGGUGUCAGCAAGUCAUGUCCUGAGCCUGGAGCUGGACAAAGCCCAGAACUCACCUAGUGGCCAAGGGCAUUCAGGAGAGGCAGUGACUCCUACGGAAGUUGGUCUCAGCAUUUGUGCUGCCAUCUCUUCCGGUCUAACUGGCCAGAGACAUUUAGGUGAAGACCUUUCACAUUGCCUUUCUCUCAGUCAAGGAAGAGGUCAGCUAAAUUGGUCCAGGAACUUUGAGUCAAACUCCUUCAAUUCCUUGUCAGCUCAGGGGUGUAGCGUGGCAGAGAGUCACGGUGGUAGGUGGAUAAGGAGUUGGGAGUGUUUGGGUCUUCUCAGUAGAAGGGGCUAGGGUAGGGGUUGCAUCUGCCUCUGGAUUUUGUUGUUGUGUUGGUGGUGGUUUUUUAUUUGUUUGUUUUAUAGAGACAGGCUCCCACUAUGUUGCCUAGGCUGGUCUCAAACUCCUGGGCUCAAGAGAUCCUCCCGCCUUGGCCUCCCAAAGUGCUGGGAUUACAGGCAUGAGCCACCAUGCCGGCCUGCCUCUGAAUUUUGUGUCUUCUUUCCCUGCUGUAGCAUUUAGGCUAGAACCAAGCCCUUUUGCAGCAGUUCUGGACACAGUGACUGCCUACAACCGGGCUUGGCUGCUGGGACCUCACUCCCUACUAGGCCCAAGCUCAGAGUGUUCUAUCUCUUAGGGACCAACUCUUUCAUCAUAAGUACAUUCACCCCAGGGGCAUAACCCACCCCAGGAAAUAGGACUCAACUCUGUACCACCGCAGAGAACACCGUUCCUUCUGGCUUCUGAGGGAAUGAUACCUCCUGAACCUGUGGGAUGCAGCAGCGCCGCCAGGACCCCGGCUUGGGAUGAUCUCCCGCUCUGAUUAUCACCACCCUGUGGACCAAGACCAUCCCCCACACCCGCUGUCCAGGGAUCUACUCUCCUGGGAACUGAGCAGGUGACACAGAGAAUGAGUGGAAUACUAAUACAUUGAAGGGCAAAAUCAAAACCCCAGAAGAUCUCUAAAAGUCUGAAUGAAUCAGCCCAUAUUACAAGAUAAAGUCCAUAAUGGUAAACGGAAGGCUCUGGUCUUGGUUUACAAAAUCCAACCACUCAAAUAUGUAGUUGCUGGAAGUUUUGUGGCCAUGGGGAUGCUGACAAAGAUUGCUUGGGAUGCACACAAGGCAGCGGCGAAGCCUGAGGGGUGCUGCCAGGCCGGGCUCUCCACUGGCCACGGCCUGACCGACUGCUAUUCCAGAGGCAUCACCCGUCAGGCCUCACCGGAAGGCUGCACAGCCGGUGCCACCUCAGAGAGUCUCUGGCAAGAGGUCAGCCUCCUCUGGCUGCUCCUGCCCUUUUGUGGAUCUGCUUUCCUAGUCCAGGUGCUCUGUUCGGAGGGCUCAGGGACCCUUAAGGGAAGACACCUUUCUUCACUCUGACUCAGUACUUUUACACUCUCAGCUUUUUCCCCUCUCACUACCCAACUCCCCAGCCCCUGGUCCACAACCCUUCAGGAAGCCUUUGGUUAGGGGCCCCCUCAAGAGUGAGAUGACCCCCACAUCUGUGCUGAUCCUCCUGACCCUGAACCGUAUGGGUGCAUUGUUCCAAGGGGAAAAUGAAGCAGGAGAGCUCAGCACUCCCUCCAGUGUUAGCCUCUUGCUUGUACUACUGCAGUGCGGGAUUAAAGUCUUCGCUAUUACUUCCAUUUGUGCUUGUUGUAGCUUCAAGUGGCUACUCUAACACCUGACAGCUCAGCUCCCUUCCAGCUCUACUGAGCUCCUGACAGCGCCAUGCGAUGCAAUUUAAUCUAAGAGGAAUUCAGCCGCAUGGUUAUACCGGGGCACGGUGGAGAAUAAAUGACAUUCUGCCUUUGUUCUGCCUAAAAUACAGGUGUGAUGACUGGAGAUGCAGAAGCCAUUCCAUUAUAUCAACAUAACAUGAUAAGCCAAGACCCUAAAGAUGCUGAGAAAAAUGGUCAAAAGAGCUUGGGGUUUUUUUGGUUUUUUUGUUUGUUUGUUUUGUUUUUUUUGAGGCAGUGGUCUCACUGUGUUGCCCAAGCUGGUCUCAAACUCCUGGCCUCAGGCUUCAGCCUCUCAAAACUGCUAGGAUUACAAGUGUGAGCCACUGCAUGAGACUGGGCUGUUUUUUGUUUGGUUUGGUUUUUUUAGAGACAGGGUCUUGCUCUGUCACCCAGGCUAAAAUGUAGGGAUGUGAUCAUAGCUCACUGCAGCCUCAACCUCCUUGGCUCAAGUGAUCCUCCCACCUCAGCCUCCCAAGUAGCUGGGAAUACAGACAUGCACUACCACACCCAGCUAAUUAAAAAAACAAAGUUUAGUAGAGACGGAGGUCUCCCUAUGUUGCCCAGGCUGGUCUCGAACUCCUCACCUCAAGUAAUCCUCCUACCUUGGCCUCCCAAAUUGUUGGAAUUACAAGCGUGAGCCACCAUGCCCAGUACUGUCUGGUUUCUUAAUAACAUUGUUGAGCCAUUGCAAUAGCCUUGGGAUAUUGCUCUUUGUACUUUUUCUUAUGCAAGAAAAACAGAUUCACAAGUUAUUUGAUGACUCUCUUCCCAUCAAAAGGAAAAGUCUAAUUCUUUUUCCCUUGAUUAUGGAUCAGCUUGAGCUUGUUGCUUCUAACAAAUGGAAGAGAGCAACAUGCUGGAGUGAUCACAUGGAGGAAGCACAAAGGGAUACAUGCCCAAGGGGCCCCAGCUGUUCCAGCCCCUAGACAUUUGAAUCUACUCAGGCACCAAGUAAGCAGGUGAAUAGCCUUCAGGUGAUUGCGGCCCACUCCCAGCUGAAGCCAAGUGGAGCGCAGAUGAGCUUCCCCUGCUGAGCCCUGCCCAAAUUGCAGAUUUGGAAGCAAAAUGAAUAUUGUUUUAAGCCACAAAUUUGUGAGUGUUUUGUUACAUAGUAUAAGGAGCCAGAACAGCUCUACAGAUGUAAAUUAUAGUCAGAUAUGUUGCUAUUUAUAACCAAAGCAUUCCUAACUUAUAAAUGUUUCAACAUUAAUAAGCAGAAGAAAGUGUAAUAAUCUUAUCAAGGUAAUACAAGUUACUUGUUUAAUAUAACCACCUUCAUGGCAAGCCUCAAUUUCAUAACCUAAUCACUUUGAGUACAACUUGGACCUAAUGGGUAGCUUUUUUUUUUUUUUUUUUUUUGAGACAGGGUCUUGCUCUGUCACCCAGGAUGGAGUACAGUGACACAAUCAUGGCUCAGCACAGUCUCAAACUCCUGGGCUGAAAUGAUCCUCCUACCUCAGCAUCCUGAGUAGCUGGGACUAAAGGCAGGCCCCACUAUGCCCAGCUAAUUUAUAAUUUUUUUUUUUUUCUGUAGAGAUGGAGCCUUGCUAUGUUGCCCAGGCUGAUCUUGAGCUCCUGGGCUCAAGCAGUCCUCCAGCUCAACAUCCCCAAGUAUUGGGAUUAUAGGCAUGAACCACCACUCUUGGCCUCUGUGU